rnacentral:rRNA from 1 species
UACGUAGGGUGCAAGCGUUGUCCGGAAUUAUUGGGCGUAAAGAGCUCGUAGGCGGUCUGUCGCGUCGGCUGUGAAAACUCGGGGCUCAACCCCGAGCCUGCAGUCGAUACGGGCAGACUAGAGGUAUGCAGGGGAGAACGGAAUUCCUGGUGUAGCGGUGAAAUGCGCAGAUAUCAGGAGGAACACCGGUGGCGAAGGCGGGUCUCUGGGCCGAUACUGACGCUGAGGAGCGAAAGCGUGGGGAGCGAACAGG